GGAAUGGAAUAUCAUAGAAGGUGAGAAUCCUGUAGUCGAAAAUUUUGAAGACUAGUGUUGUAUCCCGAGUAGCAUGGGACACGUGAAACCCCGUGUGAAUCUGCGAGGACCACCUCGUAAGGCUAAAUAUUCCUGAAUGACCGAUAGUGAAACAGUACCGUGAGGGAAAGGUGAAAAGAACCCCGGAAGGGGAGUGAAAUAGAACAUGAAAGCUUAAGCUUACAAGCAGUGGGAGGACGACUAAACGUCUGACCUCGUACCUGUUGAAGAAUGAGCCGGCGACUUGUAGGUAGUGGCAGGGUAAGGGAG
rnacentral:rRNA from 1 species